rnacentral:rRNA from 1 species
AGUGAACGUUGGCGGCGUGCCUAACACAUGCAAGUCGAGCGCGUUUCGGGGGCAACCCCGGGAUGAGCGGCGAACGGGUGAGUAACACGUGGGUAAUCUCCCCCCGAGUGAGGAAUAAGCCCCCGAAAGGGGGUCUAAUACUGCAUAAUACCCAGGGGCAUAAGCUUCCUGGGUCAAAGCCGUAAGGCGCUUGGGGAUGAGCCUGCGUCCUAUUAGCUAGUUGGUAGGGUAACGGCCUACCAAGGUUAUGAUGGGUAGCCGGCCUGAGAGGGUGUUCGGCCACACUGGGACUGAGACACGGCCCAGACUCCUACGGGUGGCUG